GAUGAACGCUGGCGGCGUGCCUAAUACAUGCAAGUCGAGCGAACGGACGAGAAGCUUGCUUCUCUGAUGUUAGCGGCGGACGGGUGAGUAACACGUGGAUAACCUACCUAUAAGACUGGGAUAACUUCGGGAAACCGUAGCUAAUACCGGAUAAUAUUUUGAACCGCAUGGUUCAAAAGUGAAAGACGGUCUUGCUGUCACUUAUAGAUGGAUCCGCGCUGCAUUAGCUAGUUGGUAAGGUAACGGCUUACCAAGGCAACGAUGCAUAGCCGACCUGAGAGGGUGAUCGGCCACACUGGAACUGAGACACGGUUCAGACUCCUACGGGAGGCAGCAGUAGGGAAUCUUCCGCAAUGGGCGAAAGCCUGACGGAGCAACGCCGCGUGAGUGAUGAAGGUCUUCGGAUCGUAAAACUCUGUUAUUAGGGAAGAACACAUGUGUAAGUAACUGUGCACAUCUUGACGGUACCUAAUCAGAAAGCCACGGCUAACUACGUG
rnacentral:rRNA from 1 species